UGGAGGGGGCAAGGGGAAUCGAACCUCCUCCCGGUUUUGCAGACCGGGCCAGUGGUUUUGAAGACCAUGGGGCGCCCAGCGCCAUUGCCCCC
rnacentral:tRNA from 1 species